rnacentral:lncRNA from 1 species
AUUACAAGCAUGAGCCACCGCACCCAGCCUUAUCCUUUUUUUUUUCAAGACAGGGUCUCACUCCUGUCACCCAGGCUGGAGUGCAGUGGUGUGAUCUUGGCUCACUGCAGCCUCAAUUUCCCAGGCUCAGGCAAUCCUCCCACCUCAGACUCCCAAAUAUCUGUGACUAUAGGCAUGCACUACCAUGCCUGGCUAAUUUUUUAUAUUUUUUUGUAGAGAUGGGGUUUAAGCCAUGUUGCCCAGGCUGGUCUUGAACUCCUGAGUUCAAGCAAUCCGCCUGCCUCAGCCUCCCAGAGUGUUGGAAUUACAGGCAUGAGCCACCAAGCCCUAAAUAGACACAUUCCUUCCAGCGUCACCUACCCCCCAGUGCUCUUCUUACACACCCACCAAAUCUGCCCUCAGACAGGUGCACAAACACACACUCAUCUACACACUGCCUCAUCUAUCUCCAGACAGACUUAAAUGUGCAAAUCUAUCCUCAGGUGGGGUUGAGGAAACCUCCAUCCUCAUUGAAUUGAUUGACACAAUCAACUCUCUCUCUCUCUCCCUCUCACACACACAGAUAGGCAUGGAUACACAAAUCUACUACAGUGGGCACCUCUAUCCUCAGAUGAAAUUGGGUACAUUGCUUCCUUCAGAACCCCCUCAAGCUUCACAUGCUCCCGGUGGUCCUGAACCCACCCUCCUCCUGCAAGACCUUGCUUUA